GAUGAUCAACAUCGCUAUUGAUAAGCGGCUUCUUUCUCACCAUCCAUCUCUGCAAACCCAUCUUCGUCAUAUGCCAAUCGUUUUCGAGCCACCAUGAACAGCGUGUAUCUAAUUAUUUUUUCUAGCUAUCCUUUCCAACCUUUGUAGUUCUUCACCUACUCUAUUGUAAUCCGAAUUUUUAUGCAAUCAUAUGUUGACCUUGACCCUCCC
rnacentral:lncRNA from 1 species